rnacentral:rRNA from 1 species
GGCGGACGGGUGAGUAAUGCUUGGGAAUCUGGCUUAUGGAGGGGGAUAACUACUGGAAACGGUAGCUAAUACCGCGUAAUAUCGAGAGAUUAAAGACUGGGACCUACGGGCCAGUUGCCAUAAGAUGAGCCCAAGUGGGAUUAGGUAGUUGGUGGGGUAAAGGCCUACCAAGCCCGCGAUCUCUAGCUGGUCUGAGAGGAUGACCAGCCACACUGGAACUGAGACACGGUCCACACUCCUACGGGAGGCAGCAGUGGGGAAUAUUGCACAAUGGGGGGAACCCUGAUGCAGCCAUGCCGCGUGAAUGAAGAAGGCCUUCGGGUUGUAAAGUUCUUUCGGUGGUGAGGAAGGUAUCAACUUUAAUAGAGUUGGUAAUUGACGUUAUCCACAGAAGAAGCACCGGCUAACUCCGUGCCAGCAGCCGCGGUAAUACGGAGGGUGCGAGCGUUAAUCGGAAUGACUGGGCGUAAAGGGCACGCAGGCGGAUUGUUAAGUGAGAUGUGAAAGCCCCGGGCUUAACCUGGGAAUUGCAUUUCAGACUGGCAAUCUAGAGUAUUUUAGGGGAGGGGUAGAAUUCCACGUGUAGCGGUGAAAUGCGUAGAGAUGUGGAGGAAUACCGAAGGCGAAGGCAGCCCCUUGGGAAUAUACUGACGCUCAUGUGCGAAAGCGUGGGGAGCAAACAGGAUUAGAUACCCUGGUAGUCCACGCU